UUUUUAUGUUCGAACUACAAUUAAAAGAUUAUAUAAUCUUAUUGAGUAAAGUAACAAAUGAAGAAUUGUUUCUCAUUGUUUCAUAUUACUUGCCAUGCUAUAAUCGCAUGGUGGUGUCUUCAAAACCUUUAUUUUUUGAAGCUGAAUGUUAAUGCUUGGACCUUGCAAUUUGAAGGUUACUUUCUGAUGAGCUGGAACCUAAUCCUCAUAAAAUUGUAUCACUGUCUACGAUCUAUCGACUGCUCUUGAAGUGAUAUUGUGAUCUUUUAUAAACUGUGAAGCGCAAACUGAGAAUACUGUUCAUGUGUAUGCUGUCAUGACUGCAUGCUGUGCUCAAGUGGUAGACAUGUUUAUCAUCUAUUGCAGAUUUUUGGCAGGUUUAUUUAAGUUGAUUGUAGUCCCUUAUAUCGAAAACAUUAUAUGCUUUGCAAAUUGUUUUAAUUGUCCUGAAAUAGGUAAAACUUACAUCUAUUUUGCCUUUAAUUAUCUUUAUUUGCUUUGUCGCCAGAUCAAAAUCUCAGUCAUAUGUAUGCUGCUUUUCAUACCGAUCACUUUCUUUCUUACAUUAAUGUCAUCUUUUUUCUGUUUUAACUUGCAUGAAUCUUAUCCUCUCCACCUUUUGUCAUUAUUCUUUAAAUCUGGCAUUCCUUUGAGAUGUUUGGGCUUAAUACCUGAUGGAUCUGUUGGUAGUGUAGCAGCUUUUGAGCUAUGCUUCUGCCUUAGGUAGGACAACUAGCAGAUUUCUUCAAGUCGGUUUUGAUGGCUUGCACUUAGCAGUUAUGAUGAAGUUAUCCAAUUUUUCCCAAAUUUCGCAAGAUUUUUCAUUCACUUCAGAUCAGUGAUUUAGAUGUUCACAAUCUGCUUAAAAUUCAAUGAAGAACACACACCAUUGUGAGUUUGGCAUCGCGUGGAAUCUUAAGUCAACACAUUGGAGGUGACAUUUCACUACGCAUCGCAAUAUAUUUUUGAGUUAACAUUGAUACAGGUUUGGUGGCUUGCUGAUUCAGUUGUAUAAGUAGUGCAGUCGAUCAUUCUCAUUUUUCGUUGGUUUAUUCUCAAAUAGAUGAUCUUAGCUGCCUAAGGUCGAAAGCUAAACUGCUAUCUCUUGUGGUGCAUUAUGCGCAGCCAACUGGAAUACAAAGGUUUCUUUUGGGACACCUUGAGUUUGAGUAACACUUCUUACCCAUAUUCAGUUUGUAUAGUUAUUUAGAUUUCUGUUUAGAUUAUAAUCCGUGAGAUUAUCAAACAAUAGUCUCUCUUUUGCUGUGGUGCUGCCAUUGGGACAAACUUAUCUACUUGCGCCGUGCAGUUAAAUCUUCGAUUGCGUUAUCACGGGCUAACUUUUAUUCUUCAGAUUGCUGCAGCUUCUCCAUGCCACCAUGCAAUUUUAGCUGCUGUCUUCCUUACCUUUAUUUACUGCCUUCUUCAUCAACGAGGUAAGGAAGUCUUUUAUUUGGUUACUUUUACCAUUUGAAUCGUAUUGGUUUCCUUGUCAAGAUUGUUAAUUACCUCCAAGUAAUAAGUGACUUUUCCGCUAAUCGAAGAUUUUGAAAUUGUCAAAUUUCUAUUUCUUCCGAUGAGUUGAUGGAAGAGCCAACAAGCAAUGGUAGGAAGCUUAUGUAUUAUACAUCAUCAAUCAUUCAAGGUUUAAAUGUUGCAGGGCUGUAACAUUAAUGUGAGAAAACGUACGUCAGAGUCCUUGAAGUAUGUCUCCAUCACAAAUGUAAUUUCUGAAAAAUCAGUACCAUUUUACAUCUACGUGAAUUGCUUGACUUGAUUUUGUCAAUAAUAUUUUUUCUCAUGAAUCAAUGAUAAUAUGCUGUUGCAAACUGAUACUUCCGGUUUCAAAGGUACAUGCAAUUGUACUAGUACUUCUGAUAUCUAAUUUUUUUGGGAAACUAAGAGGACCACAUAUUAGCGAGCUAAGGUCAAAUUCUACUAUAUUGUUAUUUGUUCUUUUAGAUUUAUCUUGAAAUAAUUCUCUCUUUUUCUUGCCCAUAAACUAAGCAUAAUCCUUUAGAGGGUGGAUAGUGCUAGUCAGACCUGCUGUAUCUGUUCUUUGCCUUGCAAUUUUAGGUGGAUUCGUCCUGAUUAUGUAAUUUAUUUAUGUUGCAUGACAUACUAAAAUUUGCUGUAUUGCUUGUAAUAUCUCGGCAAGUUUGUUACUUGACAGUUAACAUACAUUACAUUAGUUUGCCUCGUUAAACCUUCCCAUACUCAUAAAUUAUUCAGCUAAAACUUCUGUAAAACUUAGGGCUUUCAACUUUUAUAUGCUUCAACAGUUUUAUGCUUGUUGGCAUGUACCUUUUUGAGUGCCGCCACACGUGCGCGCACAUGCGGUAGUCAUUGUGAAUGAAUCAUCCUCCAUACUAGAAGAUUUUAGAUUUUAGAUUUUAGAUUUUAUUUGCGUUCUUGUAGCUUCUUUCUAGUGCUUGUAUAACUGUGCCUCUUCUAAUCCUUUAUUGCAAACUCAAUGCAAGUCAAAAUUUUCUUGAUUUGUUCUGUAUAGCAAUAAAGUAAAUCUCUCUCUCUCUACUUUCUUUGUGGUCACCUGGCACUUGACCUAUAAGAACUUCUGUAUUUCGGAUUGGAUAGGAUAAAAUAAGAGAGAAAUGCUUAAAACAGAGAAGUUAGCAAUUUUGAAGUUAUCAGCAGUUGCAAAAGGAAUCUAAUUAGGUCAAAUAAUCCCGGUGGAAUAAGGCUAUGAAAACCCAGCGAAAAUCCUUCUCCUUUCCACUGGCUCUGCCCAUUGCCAAUCGUGAACUCUUGCGUCUCCUUGUUGCUAACCUUUCCUAUCGCUCUGCAAGAUAUUCCAGAUUAUGUAAAAUCGUUGUCUGAGCUGAUAUUUCUAUCUCAGAAGAGCUUAGAAGUGACUACUACUUGAGCAUCAACAAAUAUAAAACUCUAUUAUGGGUAUUCCUCUUUUGGAUCACUUUAUGAUAUCUGAGGAGUGUGAGGAUUCUACAGAGAACACUUAAUUUUAUUGAAGAUUGGUCGGCAUAACAUGUACCUCACUUGAUUGUUGCAAAUUGCAUGGCGUCAUCGGGCAUCUUCAGUUUGGCGUAACUCAUGGCGAAGAACUUUUGAAGUUUCAGUGUAAGUAGGUACUUUUAUUAUUUGUUUCGGUAAAAAGUAGAAAGAAUAAUAUAUUUGCAGAUCUGCCAAUACAUCAAUUUUGAUGUAAGAUGACUUGGUUUCAGUUGGAGGGAAGUUAGCUUACAAAGAUAGUAAAUACUAUUAGAAAGGAUUUUCAGAAGUUCAUUUACAAAGUGCUGAAAAAUUGGUAACUGGGGUCUAAACAAAUGAUGAAAAUGCUUGAAAUUAUUGUUAAUGUCAGUGUAAAUUUGGUGAUUUUGAGUUGCAGUAAAAGAGAGAUCUCAAAUGUUUCCUUGUUUAA